ACGGAAGGCAGCAGUCGGGAAUAUUGCGCAAUGGAGGAAACUCUGACGCAGUGACGCCGCGUAUAGGAAGAAGGUUUUCGGAUUGUAAACUAUUGUCGUUAGGGAAGAUAUAAGACAGUACCUAAGGAGGAAGCUCCGGCUAACUACGUGCCAGCAGCCGCGGUAAUACGUAGGGAGCAAGCGUUAUCCGGAUUUAUUGGGUGUAAAGGGUGCGUAGACGGGAAAUUAAGUUAGUUGUGAAAUCCCUCGGCUCAACUGAGGAACUGCAACUAAAACUGAUUUUCUUGAGUGUUGGAGAGGAAAGUGGAAUUCCUAGUGUAGCGGUGAAAUGCGUAGAUAUUAGGAAGAACACCGGUGGCGAAGGCGACCUUCUGGACAAUAACUGACGUUGAGGCACGAAAGUGUGGGGAGCAAACAGGAUUAGAUACCCUGGUA
rnacentral:rRNA from 1 species